CUUGCCCCUAGAGACAUUGCAGGUGUGGCUGUUGUGUCCCAUGUGCACCAGUAGGUGGCAGAGAGGAGAGAGGCUGUGUCUAUGCUCAGCCUUCUGACCUGUGAACAUCUGAAUGAUUGGUAGCUUAACAUU